rnacentral:rRNA from 1 species
UGCAGUCGAACGGUAACAUUUCUAGCUUGCUAGAAGAUGACGAGUGGCGGACGGGUGAGUAAUGCUUGGGAACUUGCCUUUGCGAGGGGGAUAACAGUUGGAAACGACUGCUAAUACCGCAUAAUGUCUUUGGACCAAACGGGGCUUCGGCUCCGGCGCACAGAGAGGCCCAAGUGAGAUUAGCUAGUUGGUAAGGUAACGGCUUACCAAGGCGACGAUCUCUAGCUGUUCUGAGAGGAAGAUCAGCCACACUGGGACUGAGACACGGCCCAGACUCCUACGGGAGGCAGCAGUGGGGAAUAUUGCACAAUGGGGGAAACCCUGAUGCAGCCACGCCGCGUGUGUGAAGAAGGCCUUCGGGUUGUAAAGCACUUUCAGUUGUGAGGAAAAGUUAGUAGUUAAUACCUGCUAGCCGUGACGUUAACAACAGAAGAAGCACCGGCUAACUCCGUGCCAGCAGCCGCGGUAAUACGGAGGGUGCGAGCGUUAAUCGGAAUUACUGGGCGUAAAGCGCACGCAGGCGGUUUGCUAAGCUAGAUGUGAAAGCCCCGGGCUCAACCUGGGAUGGUCAUUUAGAACUGGCAGACUAGAGUCUUGGAGAGGGGAGUGGAAUUCCAGGUGUAGCGGUGAAAUGCGUAGAUAUCUGGAGGAACAUCAGUGGCGAAGGCGACUCCCUGGCCAAAGACUGACGCUCAUGUGCGAAAGUGUGGGUAGCGAACAGGAUUAGAUACCCUGGUAGUCCACACCGUAAACGCUGUCUACUAGCUGUGUGUGUCUUUAAGACGUGCGUAGCGAAGCUAACGCGCUAAGUAGACCGCCUGGGGAGUANNNCCGCAAGGUUAAAACUCAAAUGNAUUGACGGGGGCCCGCACAAGCGGNGGANCACGUGGUUU